UAAAACAUUACAAUAAAAAUAUUUCCUUCUCUUUUCUCUCUCCCUCUGUCGCCUCCUCUUAAUCCUCAUAGUCGCCUCUUGUUCUCUGUCUCACUUGAGAGAUGUGGAUCUUGUUUUCUCCCUCUCUUCGGCCCCAUUUCCUUCUCGUCUCCCUCUGUUGCACACUCAUUUUUCAUCUUGCUUUCGGUGGUUUUCCCAGUCUGCGACAACGGAGCUUCGACGGCGAGGCGCAAAGCGGAGCGAAGCCACGGAGGUGCGACGCGACAGAGGAAAAGAAAUUAUCGUGCAAAGGAAUGAGAUGAAAUGAUUGGCAGUGCAUGGGGGAAAGCUUUGUGAGGCAAGAAAGAAGAAAGGGAAAAAGGAAAGGCAGGAAGGAAGAAAGGUUGGUGGAAGGGUGGGUGCCAAUAAUGAGAGGAAAGGGAGAAAAAAAUGGUAUUUUGGACUUUUGGCAAUUCUUAGUAGGGGGACUAAAGCAAAUCUGAUAUGACCAAUAUCAACUCCCCACAAAAACUGUUAUUAUUGUCCAUUGGACUUCAGGCGGCGCAAAACUUCACACUACUUCACCAAAAACUGUUGGUCCAUAAAGUUGAUACCCUCCUCUUUUAUUUUAUUUUUAACUAAAUACACCUCCCCCUUUUUUGGGACGAGGAUUUGGGCACAGUAUGAAAACAUUAAGAGACAAUAGAGCCUCUAUAAAGCAACUUGAGCCUGCAAACAUUCCUUCUGAAAAACACCCCUCUCUGUAAUGCAGCAUCAUAAUUGCCAUCAAUACCAUCAUGAUCACCGUUGUCUAUGUAUGAUUUACCCAAAAUGCGUAUAUUUUUUGUGUGUGUCUUAAUCAAAGCUUGUUUUUAGCCUAUGAAACCCGAUCUUUACAAAACAUACAGCAACAGCUAUUGUCAUGAUGAUGUCUCCUUCAUCAAGCCCAAGAUGCAUACUCUGCCCAAGUUCUGAUUCUUUGUUAUGCAUGUACUCCUAGAAUCUCUAUGCACAAUGUGUAAAAUGUGUAAAUAGUAUUCUUAUUAGUAUCUCUUUUUA